rnacentral:rRNA from 1 species
AACGCGUGGGAACGUGCCCUUCACUACGGAAUAGUCCCGGGAAACUGGGUUUAAUACCGUAUACGCCCUUCGGGGGAAAGAUUUAUCGGUGAAGGAUCGGCCCGCGUCUGAUUAGAUAGUUGGUGGGGUAACGGCCUACCAAGUCUACGAUCAGUAGCUGGUUUGAGAGGAUGAUCAGCAACACUGGGACUGAGACACGGCCCAGACUCCUACGGGAGGCAGCAGUGGGGAAUCUUAGACAAUGGGCGCAAGCCUGAUCUAGCCAUGCCGCGUGAGUGAUGAAGGCCUUAGGGUCGUAAAGCUCUUUCGCCAGGGAUGAUAAUGACAGUACCUGGUAAAGAAACCCCGGCUAACUCCGUGCCAGCAGCCGCGGUAAUACGGAGGGGGUUAGCGUUGUUCGGAAUUACUGGGCGUAAAGCGCGCGUAGGCGGAUUAGUCAGUCAGAGGUGAAAUCCCAGGGCUCAACCCUGGAACUGCCUUUGAUACUGCUAGUCUUGAGUUCGAGAGAGGUGAGUGGAAUUCCGAGUGUAGAGGUGAAAUUCGUAGAUAUUCGGAGGAACACCAGUGGCGAAGGCGGCUCACUGGCUCGAUACUGACGCUGAGGUGCGAAAGUGUGGGGAGCAAACAGGAUUAGAUACCCUGGUAGUCCACACCGUAAACG